AAGACCAAUUCAAUUCAAAGUUGGCUGUAACCUGUAUGUGCAGAAUUUUGAACCAAAAUGAAUCCGAAAUUUGGUUUAUUCCUUGUCUUCCUCGUUUUGGGAGCUUGUCACUACUCCUCGGUGGAGGCUCAAGGAACAUUUGUGGACGCGUGUAACGAAGUGUGCAACCGGAGUCCACCAGAACGGAAGGAAUGCUGUCGGGCUCACGGGUACCCUCUGGGCAGAAGGUUCAACUGCAAUGGAGGCAGAAUGAUUUGCUACUGAGCAGGGAAACAAUAUACCGUAAAUACUCUAUUUAUAGCCGGGGCUAAAAUCCAAAAUUGAGUGUCACAGACCCGGCUAUAAUUGGAGACCGGCUAUAAAUAGAGACCCGGCUAAGUUUUACUUUGGUUAUAAUUUGGAUUUCAAAUUUCAAAUUUUGAAACAAUAUAAGUUCAGCUUACACAAUUUGAGUAAUUAUGUUCCAGUUUAAGCAAUUAACAAACGAUUCUAUAAGUACACCGGUAGAUUUUCUAAGGUUAAGAGGCUGGGAAUACAGAGACGUUAUGCGAAGCCAUAAUUUGAGACCCGGCCAUAAUUAGAGACCCGGCUAAAAUUUUGAAAUCUUGGUCCCGAGACCCGGCUAUAAUUAGAAUAGGGCUAUAAAUAGAGGUUUUACGGUAAUUAAAUUAAAUUAAAUAAAGGCUGUAUCGACAUUGUAAAAAUUUGAAAGAAAAAUAAUGCUGUAUAAUCAAUAAAUAUGUAUUUUUUUGGAAAACCAUCCGGCUCAGACAACAUUUUUAAAAUAAUGGAUAUGUAAUUAGAGUCGACGAAAAUUCUCUGCGUAAUUAAUUUUUGUAAAAUGACCUAUUUAUAAAUUAGUUAAAACAUAUCCAUAUUAUGUGUACUUAUGUGGGAUUUAUUUUUUAAAAAAGUAUAAUUAAUGUGCAUAAUGUUACAUUAUUAGCUCGUUUAGCGUUGCAUGAGAGCUAUUGACUUCCUCCUGCCCGUCUGUCGUCUGUCUGUCUGAAAAUUAUAUUUCAUAAAUAUAGUAGAAAAUUAAAGCUGAAAACCAUUUUUUAUCUUCAUGUUUUCAAGCACAUACAUAUUACAUACAUAUUUUUUCGAAUUUACGUGCAUGCAUAUUCGCCCUCUGGUUAUAACAUUUAAAAUAGUAUGAAAAUAGUUUGACUUUUAUGACUUAUUUUUUUAUUUAUUUGAAACUCUAGUGACUCUUAUUUUACAUGCUCGUCACCUCCAUCUUAUCAAUCUAAAUAAAAACUUCACAUUACGAAAGGUUUUGUAUUUCAAAAUAACGUAAAAAUCGUCUCGUUAAGGAGGCCUAAUUUGUA